UGAAAAUGUAAACAACAAAGAUCGGGCCCCGGUUCCGGACCCAGCGUACCCGCCCUACCAUGAGACGAUCACCUCCACUCGUCUCCCUCAUUUUGGCCACUAGAUGGCCUAUAUUAGCCCGUGUCGGCCAUAAUGCCUACUCUCCCCAACAAUAUUAUUUUAGCCGGACAUGAUUUCUUUCAAUAGCUGUUUAGGAUCUCAUGCAAGCGGAUAAUUCAUUAACUUCACAGGCGACGAAAUACUACAAGGAUAUUGCUAGUCGCCGCAAAAGGAGCGCGCAAGGAGGCACUUUAGAGGCAAUCGUUGCGCCGCUUUAGGAACAAUGGCCCACACAAUUACUUAAAACUGGGUAUGUCACGUAUUAUGUAUUGUAUGUAUUAAAUCGCUUAAUUCUACCUUACCCUACCUAAAGAGCUCUCUGGGGGUGG